rnacentral:rRNA from 1 species
GUGAGACAGUUCGGUCUCUAUCUACAGUGGGCGUAAGAAAUUUGAGUGGAUCUGACUCUAGUACGAGAGGACCGAGUUGGACUGACCGCUGGUGUACCUGUUGUUUCGCCAGAAGCAUUGCAGGGUAGCUAUGUCGGGAAGGGAUAAGCGCUGAAAGCAUCUAAGCGCGAAACUCGCCUGAAGAUGAGACUUCCCUUGCGGUUUAACCGCACUAAAGAGUCGUUCGAGACCAGGACGUUGAUAGGUGGGGUGUGGAAGCGC